rnacentral:rRNA from 1 species
GUGAGGAAUAUUGGUCAAUGGGCGAGAGCCUGAACCAGCCAAGUCGCGUGAAGGAAGAAGGAUCUAUGGUUCGUAAACUUCUUUUGCAGGGGAAUAAAGUGCAGGACGUGUUCUGUUUUGUAUGUACCCUGAGAAUAAGGAUCGGCUAACUCCGUGCCAGCAGCCGCGGUAAUACGGAGGAUCCGAGCGUUAUCCGGAUUUAUUGGGUUUAAAGGGUGCGUAGGUGGUUUGAUAAGUCAGCGGUGAAAGUUUGCAGCUUAACUGUAAAAAUGCCGUUGAAACUGUCGGACUUGAGUGUAAAUGAGGUAGGCGGAAUGCGUGGUGUAGCGGUGAAAUGCAUAGAUAUCACGCAGAACUCCGAUUGCGAAGGCAGCUUACUAAGCUACAACUGACACUGAAGCACGAAAGCGUGGGGAUCAAACAGGAUUAGAUACCCUUGUAGUCC